rnacentral:rRNA from 2 species
AACCGGAUUAGAUACCCUGGUAGUCCACGCCGUAAACGAUGUCGACUUGAGGUUGUUCCCUUGAGGAGUGGCUUCCGGAGCUAACGCGUUAAGUCGACCGCCUGGGGAGUACGGCCGCAAGGUUAAAACUCAAAUGAAUUGACGGGGGCCCGCACAAGCGGUGGAGCAUGUGGUUUAAUUCGAUGCAACGCGAAGAACCUUACCUACUCUUGACAUCCACGGAAUUUGGCAGAGAUGCCUUAGUGCCUUCGGGAACCGUGAGACAGGUGCUGCAUGGCUGUCGUCAGCUCGUGUUGUGAAAUGUUGGGUUAAGUCCCGCAACGAGCGCAACCCUUAUCCUUUGUUGCCAGCGAUUCGGUCGGGAACUCAAAGGAGACUGCCGGUGAUAAACCGGAGGAAGGUGGGGACGACGUCAAGUCAUCAUGGCCCUUACGAGUAGGGCUACACACGUGCUACAAUGGCGCAUACAAAGAGAAGCGACCUCGCGAGAGCAAGCGGACCUCACAAAGUGCGUCGUAGUCCGGAUCGGAGUCUGCAACUCGACUCCGUGAA